UGCAGCUUCGUCAAAUUCAGCUCCGCCCCCUCCAUGGCGGCAGCUGGCCAAUGGGCUGCUACAGAAUUUUUUCCUGUAGCUCAUGGGCCUCGUUUUUCCUCUGCGGUGGGAAUCGGGGAUAAAAUUGUGCUACAGACACUU